CGUAACGACUGUCAGCUAGAUUGAGCCGGUUAAUAGGCCCACUGACGAUACCUUAAUUACGUAACCUAGCAAUAAAUCGAUGAUUGAGACGACAGGCGUUCGCAAACUUUGAAUAAUCGCCAGAAUGGUGUGUGCAGUCCUCAGCAACCGGGAAAAUAGUGCAGUCCUCGGCAACCGGGAAAAGAGAGUCUGGGAGAUUCACCAGGAGGGAGUGAAAGCACAAUAGCUGUCAUAUGCUGUGCAUGUAAAUGUCACAGGAAACUUGAAGCAUUGAAGGAAGAAAAACUAAAACUUCAAAUAAAAUACUACAAAAGGAAGCUUGUUGAAGAGUAAAUGGAAGAUAUUUGUUGGAUUCGGUGGAGUAUCGAUUUUAUUUCACGAGUGAUCAUAUAAAAUAUCUUUUCACGAGUGGCACAGCCACGAGUGAAAAUAUGUAUUUUUUAUGAUCACGAGUGAAAUAAAAUCAAUAUUUCAUCCAAUCCAACAAAUUUUCUUUUUAUUUUAUGCUUUUUUGAUAUCUGGUUUUUUUUACAUUGCAAGAGUUUAACUGGAUAAUUUCGCUGGAUUUAUACCGUAAUUUGGUAGAAAAAAUAACGUCAAUUCACAGUACAACAGUGAAAAAUAUCGUUAUUUUUCACUUUAUUUUUCACUGUUUAAAACAAUGAAAUAUCAAUUUUAUUUUACUAAUAUAUUUCUCUAUAAACAACCGGAAAGCAUAAAAUAAAUAGAGAAUAUGUGUUUGCCAUGAGAUUUAUAGAGAAUAUUAUGCUACUGACUUGUGAUAGCUACUGACUUGUCAUAUGAAUGUUAUCUGUCAUUAAAAUAUGCUUUCAGCUCGCAAGAAGCAUACAGACAAUCUUGUAUUAAACGACCAUCUUCAAGACCUCCAAAAGGUGAUCUAUAAGACAGAUGGCAGCUUAAUACAGGAUGCUAGUCAUGUAGAAAGCUCCAAUAGGAGCUUACCGCAUGUUAAGCAUCCUGUGUUAAUAUGUCAACUAGUUUUACAGGCAUUCAUGCCAUGGUUUAGAGAGGUUGUAUAAAGUUUAAAACAAUAUUGACUGUAUUUUGCUGAAGGUGUGCUUUUGUGAUACUGAAGUUGCCAUAGUAUGUCAGUCUACAUGUCCUGGUGUAUAUCUGUCUGUCAAGUUUUGUUUACUCUAAUUGACACUUUUUUGCUUAUAUCAAAAUAAGGCCAGUACCAAAAUGAGAUUUUAUGACUUUUGCAAACUAAUCUAAAAAUCAUUGUGGAAUAAAGAGAAGUUGUUCAAAAUGAACAAUUUAGCUUUAUCCUCCAGUAAGUUUUUAUAUAGUUCCAUGAUGUUCAGAAUUUAGAAAUUAAUUUUCAAAGGGAUAUGGGAAAUUUAAUGCAAUUUACCUUUUUUUCAAAAAAAAGUAUUAACAAAGAAGUCCCUGUAUCUAAGUCCCAUUUGUGGGCCAUUUUCCAUGGGGUUUGGCUGGUUGGGUUCAGGCUGGUUAUCAUCAUUUUCCUCCAUUUCAACAUCUGGUAGAGAAAUAUUUUGCCUUUUGCAAAUAUUUUGCAAUACAGCACACGCUGUUAUAACCAUGAUCAUGAAAUAUUGGAAUAUGUUAACCUAUUACCAAACAAGACAAAAUUUAGACAAAUCUCAUUAUAAGCCUAAUUAUUAGUAAUCGAUAAAGGUAAAAGAUUUUGGUUUCAAUCGAGAAAAAUGCAGCCUUAUAAGCUGACACUUUUAAUCUACAUCAAUGAUAUGAUGUAUGGUUAUAAUUACAUAUUGUGAAUUUCAUAGGGCCUGAUUGUAGUUUUAUUAUUAGUCAAUAUGUCAGAAAGUUGCAUUGUACAAGGAGUUAUUUAAAUGUUCAAAGAUUUUGUUUACAAAAAUAAUUGUUUUUGAUAAUGGUACAAAUAAGUAAUACCGUAGGUGAAUUAUAAGGAAACUACCUGCAAGCUUUUCUGGUUUCAUACGGAUUUCUCCAUGCAAAAUACCAAAUCUCCUUUUCAGUUGCCCUAUGCCCCUUUCUACUUUUGCUCUAGUAAUUUUGUGUGCUCUAAAAUUAAGAAGUUCUGUAUUUUAAAGUUGAACAUUAAGCAUUUUCACUGUAUUUGAAUGUACUUUCUUUAAGCAAGUUAUUCUUUUGCUACAAUGUGACGAAUUUGUUAGAGAUGCAAUGACUGAGCUUGACAUUCUUCCUUGUAACACAAUUAAUUAGUUUGUUAUUGAAUAGAAUAACUUAAUUAUUAUACGCCCGUUUUUCAAAACGGGACGUAUUAUAAAAUCACCCUUUGCGGCGGCGACCAAAGCAGUAUCCGCUCUCUUCACCGAACUUGGUCAGAAGUUUCACUAGACGAUAUCUAGGUCAAGUUGGAAUAUGGGUCACGCUGGGUCAAAAACUAGGUCACAUGGUCAGUUAGUGCAUUUCAAGGAUUUAGCAUGGUGUCCACUAUCUAAUUGAAGUAGUAUAAAUCCCAUCUCCAACAAAUUUGGUCAGAAGUUGAAUCUAUAUGAUAUCUAGGUCAAGUUCCAAUAUGGUUUAUGCCGGGUCAAAAACUAGUUCACGAGGUCACUUAGUGCAUUUCAAGCAUGUAGCAUGGUGUCCACUAUCUAGUUGAAGUAGUUUUCAUCAGAUCUUCACCAAAUUUUGUCAGAAGUGGUGUCUAGCUGAUAUGUAGGUCAAGUUCAAAUAUGGGUCAUGGUAAAGCUAUCCAGUUGUCCAAAACCUUGUAAUGGGCGUAUCUUGUGACAGUUUGGCACUCUUGUUAUUUACUGUUAUGAAAUUUCAGAGUUAUAGGCUCAAGAUUUAUUUUCAUUAUGUUAUUAAAAGUUUUACACUUAAAAUGUGUGUGUCAUUCUCUUUAUGGGCAACAUUAAUGUGAUAUCCUAUACAUGGCAAUAUAAAUAUAUAAUUACCUGAAGUACCGGGUUUGUUGUCCUGCUUGAGGGUUUGCGUAUGGGGUAAGCAGCCAUCUUCGAGAGGGAUAACCACUAUCUCCAAGUAGGUGAUACCCGACAGGGAUGAUUCCCUCUUCAAACAGCUGUCUAACCCCACUAUUUUGUAAAAUCCGGCUAUCAUGUGAGGAUCCUGGCUACCUCGCAACAACAUCUAUGAUUGCGUCAAAAGCAUCAAAUACAAG